rnacentral:rRNA from 1 species
AUGAACGCUGGCGGCGUGCCUAAUACAUGCAAGUCGAGCGAACAGACGAGGAGCUUGCUCCUCUGACGUUAGCGGCGGACGGGUGAGUAACACGUGGAUAACCUACCUAUAAGACUGGGAUAACUUCGGGAAACCGGAGCUAAUACCGGAUAACAUGUUGAACCGCAUGGUUCAACAGUGAAAGACGGUCUUGCUGUCACUUAUAGAUGGAUCCGCGCCGCAUUAGCUAGUUGGUAAGGUAACGGCUUACCAAGGCAACGAUGCGUAGCCGACCUGAGAGGGUGAUGGGCCACACUGGAACUGAGACACGGUCCAGACUCCUACGGGAGGCAGCAGUAGGGAAUCUUCCGCAAUGGGCGAAAGCCUGACGGAGCAACGCCGCGUGAGUGAAGAAGGUCUUCGGAUCGUAAAACUCUGUUAUUAGGGAAGAACAAAUGUGUAAGUAACUAUGCACGUCUUGACGGUACCUAAUCAGAAAGCCACGGCUAACUACGUG